CUCAUCUGAUAUCGAAGGAAAAUCUCUGAAGACUAUGCGGUCAAACAUCCAUAAUUUCUCCAAAGAAAUCCAUGAAUAACUUGCCAAGCCAAGAAAAUUAUGAUUGCAGUCGUGGGCUUGAACUCUGGGCCUGAGCUCUAUCCC